rnacentral:tRNA from 1 species
GGGGAUAUAGCUCAGUUGGUAGAGCAUUGCUUUUGCACAGCAAAUGUCAGGAGUUCGACUCUCCUUAUCUCCA